GGCCAGAUGGUGAAGGCUGUUGUGGGUGGUGGUUUUUUUCCUGGAAUUCCUAUGGGUAAUGGUACUAAUGGCUCUAUCAUAAUCUCACAUAUUUUCUUUGCAGAUGAUACUCUCCUUUUUUGUGAAGCGGAUCGUGGCCAUAUUCAAAAUUUACGAGCACUUUUGUUAUGUUUUGAAGUCGUGUCGGGGCUUAAGUGAACCUUGAUAAGUCCGAGAUGGUUGCAGGGGAAUGGGGGAGGAACCAAAAAUCCAUCUUGUUAAGUGGAAGAAAGUUUGUUCUCCAAUUUCGAAUGGUGGCUUGGGAGUGUGCAACUUAAGGAAUUUCAAUAAAAUUUUAUUGGGAAAAUGGUUAUGGAGGUACCACUUGGAUGGGGAUUCACUGUGGAAGGAAAUUAUAGACUUUAGACAUGGAAGUGUUUGGGGACCUGGUGCUCCAACAAAGUGAGGGGGGGGGGGGGGGUAUGGAGUGAGCUUAUCGAAAUUUCUUAGGAGGGGAUGACAGAGUUUU